GGUUGCUUGGUCCAGUGGUUAAUGAUGCUUCUCUUUCAGAAGUGGGGAAAGCAGGAGGUUAUGGGUUCAAUCCCCACCUUGAAUG